UACGUAGGUGACCAGCGUUGUCCGGAUUUACUGGGCGUAAAGAGCGCGCAGGCGGUCGUUCAAGUCGAGUGUGAAAGCCCCCGGCUCAACUGGGGAGGGUCAUUCGAUACUGAUCGACUGGAAGGCAGGAGAGGGAAGCGGAAUUCCCGGUGUAGUGGUGAAAUGCGUAGAUAUCGGGAGGAACACCAGUGGCGAAGGCGGGUCUCUGGACAGUUCCUGACGCUGAGGCACGAAGGCCAGGGGAGCAAACGGG
rnacentral:rRNA from 1 species